rnacentral:rRNA from 1 species
AACGAACGCUGGCGGCAGGCCUAACACAUGCAAGUCGAGCGAACCCUUCGGGGUUAGCGGCGGACGGGUUAGUAACGCGUGGGAAUAUACCCUUUGGUACGGAAUAGCCUCGGGAAACUGAGAGUAAUACCGUAUGUGCCCUUCGGGGAAGAUUAUCGCCAAAGGAUUAGCCCGCGUUGGAUUAGAUAGUUGGUGGGGUAAUGGCCUACCAAGUCUACGAUCCAUAGCUGGUUUGAGAGGAUGAUCAGCAACACUGGGACUGAGACACGGCCCAGACUCCUACGGGAGGCAGCACUGGGGAAUCUUAGACAAUGGGCGCAAGCCUGAUCUAGCCAUGCCGCGUGGACGAUGAAGGCCUUAGGGUUGUAAAGUCCUUUCAGAUGGGAAGAUAAUGACGGUACCAUCAGAAGAAGCCCCGGCUAAACUCCGUG